rnacentral:lncRNA from 1 species
UUAUUAUUAUCAUCUCUACUACAAAUUUACAGCACUAAGAAACAAAUUCAGAGCCCCGAGCCUGCUGUGAAAACACUCUACCCCCGAGCUACAUCCCCACCCCUCACCUUUAUGUUGUGUAUUUCUAUUGUUGACUCAUAUAUUUGUACUUAGGGCACUAGAUUCAAGAAUAGUAACAACAAAUAUUUCUUUAGCUUCGGUAAAAAUUCUUCCAAUGAUUUACCAAGUAGUGUUUCUGCUCUGGAGAGAUUAUAGUGUAAAAAUGCCCAAGAGAAACCUAACAAAAUUCAAUAUACACUCUUGAUAAAAUACACAAGGAGCCAACGAAUAUGUCUUGCAUCUUGCACAUCUCUCUUCUGGGCUCUUAUAAGCACUCACACUCCUUAUCCCUCUAAGUCUACCUUGUGGUGUUUUGUUACCAGAGAAGGUAGGCUGCUCUGUUCUCAAGCCCUGUCUACAUCGUCAUAAAUAGUCUCUUCAGAAGCUCUCUGAGACGCCUGUGGCUGAACAUGCCUUCUCUAUCCAGGGGCAGCUAAGACUGACACAGAUAUUUUUCAUUUACAUCUGUAUCCUUACAUACCAGAGCUGACCUAAGAGCCUGCCUUCAUCAAGAUAAGGGUGAACUGGAAUGUGAAUCAACGUGGUGCACUCAUCUUUCGGCUUUAAGGAAGUCCUCUUGCUGAUUACCAUUCUGUUUCCUGUCACUACAGUUAAAUACACCAGCCACUGCAAAGAUCAGCCGCUGGUCCCAGACCACACAUGAGGUUGCGGUAGCGCAUGGAUAAAGGCAUUAGAUUCGCUGGAGACUCGCUGGUCACUAGAGAGCUGGAAGGCUUUUACUGGGCAACUUGUAGAGAAAUUAAGAUCCUCUCUCUCUCUCUCUCUCUCUCUCUCUCUCUCUCUCUCUCUCUCUCUCUCUCUCUCUCCCUACUUCUCAUGAGGAGACUUUUGCCUGAAGUUCUCCCUCCCACUAUUACUGGCCAGAGGUGGUUGCAUAACUGCUCACAAAUUACGCAUAUGAGAAAAUAACAACAUUCCCAAUAUUGAUUAAGAUAAUCAGCUUAAACUCCCCAAAGCUGGACCUGACAUUGUUCCCAUGAAGCCUAUUAUCAUGUGGUGAAUGGUGGGAUCUAAAAUAAAGUCUGAGGUCUCUUAGAACGGGAAAUAGAGAGGAAUUUUAGUUUGACUAAUCAAUGUUUAUUCUAAUUAUUAUCUCUCUCCCAUACCGCCUAUAGUGUUUUGGAAAUAUUUCCAGUUGAGCAGCAUUCUUGUGGUAUUAUGUUUCUACAUAUUUACCUCUCGCCUAUCUCCCUCUAGCUUCAAGAUGACCAAAUGGCCCACUCAAUAGCUAUAAGGACGAGAGCUAUACUGGACACAUCAGACAAAAAAAUAUCUUUAGUUACGUUCCUUGUUUCCCCCUGGAUAGUGUGGAUAUAAAAACUGUGUCUCGAGCUUGUUUCCAUAGCAGAUACUACUGUGAAGCUUCACACUCGCCUUGUGUCCUUGGCCCCUGUUAAUUCUGCGCACUGGCCCACACCUGUGAAGAUGAUGCGAGCCAAGGCCCUGUAAGUCCUCCGAGUACGGAUGAAUCCUCCAUUCAUUCUGCUUUCCACUCGGAGAAUGACGGACAGAGGUGAGCUCAAACGGAGUCUCGAAGGACAAAGCUUUUCUCUGUGAAAAGGUAACUGGUUCACACCUGCAUCCUGCUUGGAGCCCAGGCCUCAUUAGCACCAUUUUCUAAUCCUGCAGAGAGCUCCCAGCCAGCCCUCCAUGAGCAGGGAGAACAGCGGGUUCUCUGUGCCCUACAGUGGCCAUGUUUGCCUGGAGGAGCCAGGGAACAUCUGGUGAGAUUCUGCACCAUAGGGUGGCUGCAAAACAUUGGAUGUUUGAAUAAACGAACCCCGCAACCGCACCACAGAACACUGGAAGAGAGGGGACUCCUCACUCAAAGCUGCUUUCUCCCUCCCUGCUACAGUCUGAGCAGCAGUUAAACUUCAAAUAACCUCUGUGGUUCCUUCCCUCCUAGGGCAUGAACACAAUCAGAGGACAAGUAGACGGGUGUUUCCAGGAGCCAAUGAAAUAUUUUAUUUAUUUCAAUGGGAAAUCAAGCCAGCUGGCUCUUACAUGAAGCUAUCCCCUGGAAUUCACAAAUGCCACUUUCUUCUCCAUCGUGGAAGAAAAGAUACGUUGUAGUUUGGAACAAAGAUUAAAUAU